GAAUGCUGACAUAAGUAACGAUAAAGCGGGUGAAAAGCCCGCUCGCCGGAAGACCAAGGGUUCCUGUCCAACGUUAAUCGGGGCAGGGUGAGUCGACCCCUAAGGCGAGGCCGAAAGGCGUAGUCGAUGGGAAACGGGUUAAUAUUCCCGUACUUGGUGUUACUGCGAAGGGGGGACGGAGAAGGCUAUGUUGGCCGGGCGACGGUUGUCCCGGUUUAAGCGUGUAGGUGUGUGUUCCAGGUAA
rnacentral:rRNA from 1 species